GCCUGGGUGGCUCAGUCGGUUAAGCGUCUGACUUCGGCUCAGGUCACGAUCUCACGGUCUGUGAGUUCGAGCCCCGCAUCGGGCU
rnacentral:tRNA from 1 species